rnacentral:sRNA from 1 species
AAUGAAACUAUAUCAGUGUCUUCUUAUAAAAUUUGGAAAGAUGAUUGUUUAUUGAUGGUCUGGUCAGUCACUAAUAAGAGUGGUUUGGAAUUGAAAAGUGCUGACUUAGAAAUUUUUCCUGCAGAAAAUUUCAAGACCAUUAAAAAUCUCAAGUGAAGACUUUGGGAAACUCUGGUUAUCCUUCGCAAAUGAUGUGAAACAAAAUGUAAAAAUGUCAGAAUCUCAAGCUGCACUUCCUUCUGCACUAAAGACUCUGCAACAGAAACUAAGACUCCAUAUUAUUGAGAUUAUAGGCAAUGAAGGGCUAUUGGCCUGUCAGCUGCUCCCAUCCAUCCCCUGCUUACUGCAUUGCCGAGUUCAUGCAGAUGUAUUAGCCCUGUGGUUCAGAUCCUCCUGCUCUACUCUUCCUGACUAUUUACUGUAUCAGUGUCAAAAGGUGAUGGAGGGAUCCUAGCAGAAGCCCUGCUAAAUUUUACUCCGUCAAGAUCAAUGGUUUACAUAGAUAAACUUAUUUACCAAAGUAAAAAGAACUCAUGGUACUUCUAAUGAAAAUGGGGAUUAUUACAAGUGUGGUUUAUAUGUUUUCUUUAUGAUUCCUGGUCAAGAAAGAUCCCCAAAACUGUAUCCCUAACCUUUAACUCAGGAUUGUACAGUAUGUUUAGGUCCCUCAAAAAGUGACCUAAGCUAAUGUUAUAAACUGCUAAUGAUUUAUAUAUCACUUAGUGUGUAGAGGGACUGAAAAUAUUUAUUUUGUUAUAAAUAAUUUUAUAGCACGUUUACUCUAGUGCUAGCUAAUUUGUAAUAAAGCCAAGUCCCAGUUUUCUGCAUUAAAUGGAAGGGAGACAUGAAAUUGAUAAUCUCAAACUUAAUUCAUUUUGGCUUUGGAAUGUAGUGUAUGGUUUUUGGUAGGCAAGUCAAUAUUUUCGAUUAUGUUUUGCUUGGAUCAGUGUUGAACUAAGUUGGCAUAGCACACACUAACAGUUGUAGGAGAUCCAUGAGCAUACUGGAUAUUGAGGGGAUCCAAUGUGUGAUAUAUUUUUUAUUAUAGAUAACUGUUACACAUAAUUUCAGAUAAUUUGGCUAUAAAAUUUGUCUGUUUUCCACUUGGAUUUAUUUUAAAAUUCAAAGUAAAUCACUCUAUUCUUAUUUUGAAAACUCAGAGCCAUUUUCAAAAUAUCAUAUAGAAACAAAACCCAUAAGAGCACACAGUAACAAAGCAAACAGAUACAAAAAUGACUUUU